rnacentral:rRNA from 1 species
GAUGAACGCUAGCUACAGGCUUAACACAUGCAAGUCGAGGGGUAACGAGAGGAAAGCUUGCUUUCCUUGUCGACGACCGGCGCACGGGUGAGUAACGCGUAUCCAACCUGCCCCCAACUAGGGAAUAACCUUGCGAAAGUAAGACUAAUACCCUAUAAUUUCCUCAGAUGACAUCUGACGAGGAAUAAAGAUUUAUCGGUUGUGGAUGGGGAUGGGUCUGAUUAGCUUGUUGGCGGGGUAACGGCCCACCAAAGCAACGAUCAGUAGGGGUUCUGAGAGGAAGGUCCCGCACAUUGAAACGGAGACACGAUCCAAACUCCUACGGGAGGCAGCAGUGAGGAAUAUUGGUCAAUGGAAGGAAGCCCGAACCAGACAAGUAGCGUGCAGGAUGACGGCCCUAUGGGUUGUAAACUGCUUUUAUACAGGAAUAAAGUUAGCCACGUGUGGUUAUUUGUAGGUACUGUAUGAAUAAGGACCGGCUAAUUCCGUGCCAGCCGCCGCAGUAA